rnacentral:lncRNA from 1 species
GCAACCGCAUGGAGCUACAGCCAAAACAAGUCAGUUUAAUGCACUCCUUUGUCAAAAGGCUUUCUGAAAGGCAGAGAUUGAUUCACAGUGAAGGUUUGGGUGGCAUUCCCUGUGUUCUUCAAGUCUUUCAGCGUGAAUUCCCUCCGCAUCCGUAAUGACCGCCUAUUACCUGUUUAGUGAACUACUUAUUGACCGGGACCCAUACAGUACUGUGCAUCAGUGGGAGCUGUAUGACAGGGGCUAAACUGAGCUGAAAGGAAGUGCGCAGACCAGAUUCACAGCCAUCUUUUACAUCCCAACUGUCGGUACCCAUGGCAAUCUCCAUGUAUGUCGAAUGACUGUCUCCCAACUCCCAGAGUCCCAGGGGACCAGUGAUUCGACCAUGGAGGCUCCGCCCCCCCCCCCCCCCCCCCCAGGGACACUCAUUCCUUUAAGGGAUGAUUCACCGCAGUGGAAGAUGAAAGCCACGCGUCACCAUCACACCCCAAAAACACCACCCGUCUGUACGCGGCUGACCUGGUGCUCCACUCUGAUGCCACCUGGGUGCCAGCCAAAGCAGGCCAAAAUGUCCCCCAGCUAUAAUGUUAACCAAUGCAGGGUGAUUCUACAUUAUCGCCCCCCUUCUAAGACAGACCGUUAG